GCCCGGCUAAUUUUUUGUAUUUUUAGCAGAGACGGGGUUUCACCCUGUUAGCCAGGAUGGUCUCAUCUCCUGACCUCGUGAUCCGCCCGCCUAGGCCUCCCAAAGUGCUGGGAUUACAGGCGUGAGCCACCGCGCCCGGCCUAAUAAAGGACAAUUUUUAAUAGCCACUGGACUAUUUAAGUGAUCUCUUCUUCUGUCAGUUUCUUUUACCAUCAGAGGACACAGCAGCAAGGUGCCAUCCUAGAAGCAGAGAGCAGACCCUUACCAGACAACCAGCCAGCUGGUGCCAUGAUCUUGGACUUCUCGGCCUCCAGAACUCUAAUUAUGUUACUUCUGUUUCACAUGGAUCUCAUAUAGAAAAUGCACAAGUGUUUAAGAACAGAAUAUAAUGAUGAAGGAAUAUCAAUAAGUAUAUUUUUUGCAUUGGUUAUAUUAGUCAAACAUGGCAUUACAAAAGGAGUGUCUAAUCUUCCCCAGAUAUCAUUAUAAGACAUUUACCUCCACCUUGGAAGAAUACAAAGGACUCCACUUAAAAGGCAAAUCAAGCCAAACCUUAUAAAGACAAGCCACAGACUCCAGGUUACAUGUUUUGAGUUCUGCACAAAAUAUUUGAAUGGGUGCUUCAUAAAAGAUGAUAUAUGAGGACUUGGGGCAGAACAAGAUGGCAGAAUAGAAGGCUCCGCCAAUUGUCCCUGCUUCAAGGACACCAAUUUAACAACUAACUACAUAAAAUAGCACCUUUAUAAGAACCAAAAAUCAGGCACUUAAACACGCAGCAUGAGGAAAAUGGAACAACAAUCUUGAGGUGCCUUCUGAAUCAUCAGAUUAAAUUAUGCUUCGGUCUUGCACUGCUGCCUAGGCUAGAGUGCAGUGGUGCAAUCAGGGCUCACUGCAGCCUCACUCAACUUCCCAGUCUCAAGCCAUCCUCCUACCUCAGCCUCUGUUCCACUAAUCUACUUGUCAAUUUUUCCAGCAACACCACACCCUCCUGAUCACCAUAGCUUUAUGCAACAACAAGAAACAAAUUUAUUAGCUAACCUAACCACUAAUGACGCAAGAGACAAUUCUAAGGACUUUCAAAACAGCAAAGUAGGAGCAGCUGCUACCUCUAGGGAUGAGGGAUGCAAUUGUCCAAUUAUUGGUGAAAUUGUCAUUUCAUGCUAUUGGCUAUUUGAAAUUCCUCCUCUAAUUUCAGAAUAAAUCACUGAAAUUGACAUCGGCCAGUCUGAAUUUCAAGAAAUUACCUGCUGAAGACAAGAGGGAUCUCUUCUUCAGAUUUGCAGUCUGGGGAAGACACAGCCUCUACUGUACUUUAGAACCUGAGAUAUGGUGGUGGAGGGAGCCCUGGGUCGAGUGGUAGGAUUCACCCUUAGGUUAGUAUUGACGUAAGGUGACGAGGAGCUGUAGACAAAAGAUUGUAACCAUAAGAACUUCAUAGUUUUUGUAUUUUCACCGAGCUUAUAUUUGGUGUGUUUUUUGUCUUUUCUUUAUGAUUAUCAAUAAAAUGCUUGAAAG
rnacentral:sRNA from 1 species